rnacentral:rRNA from 1 species
AGCUUUUUGAUUUUUUAAUUAAAAGUAUUUUCUGCUCAGUGUUUAUAAAUAGCUGCGGUAAUUUGACCGUGCAAAGGUAGCAUAAUCAUUUGCUUCAUAAUUGGGGGCUGGUAUGAAUGGAAAUAUGAAAAUUUUUCUUUCUUUUUAUUUUUUUUAAAAAUUGUAGUUAGUGUGAAGAUACAUUAUUUUGUAUAAAAGACAAGAAGACCCUUUUGAGCUUUAUUUUUUUUUAUUUUCUUAUUUAAAUUAUUAUUUAGUUGGGGCGAUUAAAGAAGAAAAUUUAAAAAUAAUCUUCUUUCUUUUUAUUUUGAUCCAAAGUUUUUUGGUUUUUAGAAUUAGUUACCAAAGGGAUAACAGCGUAAUUUUUUUUAAGAGUUCUAAUUAAAAAAAAAGAUUGCGACCUCGAUGUUGACUUAUAAUUUCCUUUUGGUGCAGUAGCUUAUAAGGUUGGUCUGUUCGACCUUUAAUAUUUU